GCCUGUGUCUAGUUGUACAACUGUAUAAUAUGCAUUAUCGCCGUUUUUCGAUCAAUGUGUUCACUGCAUGUGCAUAGAUAAAGUAUAAAGAAAGGCGAUAAUAUAAAAUAAAUUCAAUGAUUUUUCGUUUUAAAGUAUUUAAUUUUUGGUUGUAAAUCUUUCUAUUACUUUUGGUGUGUAAUUUUUAAUGUAUUAAUUUGAUUGCAUAAUAAAAGAAAGACUAAUUAUGGAUCUGCAAAGUCACGGACGUCGGGGUUGUUUUAGAGCUGUUAAAAUCAAAUUUAGAUUGUUCAAAAAGAAAGACUCUACUCAUAAAUUAAUAUAUUUGACAGAAAAGGAUCAAGAUGAAAAAAGAAUAAAAUUAAUAAAAGC
rnacentral:lncRNA from 1 species